rnacentral:rRNA from 1 species
GUCUAUGGCCAUGCCAUCCUGAACGUGCCUGAUCUCAUCUGAUCUUGGAAGCUAAGCAGUGUUGGGCCUGGUUAGUACUUGUAUGGGAGACCACCUAGGAAGACCAGGUGCUGCUGGCG